UACGAAGGGGGCUAGCGUUGUUCGGAAUUACUGGGCGUAAAGCGCACGUAGGCGGAUAUUUAAGUCAGGGGUGAAAUCCCAGAGCUCAACUCUGGAACUGCCUUUGAUACUGGGUAUCUUGAGUAUGGAAGAGGUAAGUGGAAUUGCGAGUGUAGAGGUGAAAUUCGUAGAUAUUCGCAAGAACACCAGUGGCGAAGGCGGCUCACUGGCCCGAUACUGACGCUGAGGCACGAAAGCGUGGGGAGCAAACAGGGA
rnacentral:rRNA from 1 species